CGUGUAGGCGGCCAGGUAGGUCGGUUGUGAAAACUGGAGGCUUAACCUCCAGACGUCGACCGAAACCAUCUGGCUAGAGUCCGGAAGAGGAGAGUGGAAUUCCUGGUGUAGCGGUGAAAUGCGCAGAUAUCAGGAAGAACACCCGUGGCUAAGGCGGCUCUCUAGUACGGUACUGACGCUGAGACGCGAAAGCGUGGGGAGCGAACA
rnacentral:rRNA from 1 species